rnacentral:rRNA from 1 species
GGUUUAAUUCGAAGCAACGCGAAGAACCUUACCAAGUCUUGACAUCCCGAUGACAGAACAUGUAAUGUGUUUUCUCUUCGGAGCAUCGGUGACAGGUGGUGCAUGGUUGUCGUCAGCUCGUGUCGUGAGAUGUUGGGUUAAGUCCCGCAACGAGCGCAACCCCUAUUCUUAGUAGCCAGCGGGUAAGCCGGGCACUCUAGGGAGACUGCAGGGAUAACCUGGA